UUUACAACAGUGGAUGAUAUGUCAGACUGAUUCUGAGAUUGUCAUCACAUCAAGGAGCACAGGUUUUUGAACCACAAAACCAAAGUACUCCCCAACACAAACCUGAUGAUGAAAGAUAGUAAGAUCUGAUACUGAGGAUCUGGAUCCACCUGAAACAAAUCCAGACAAGACUUCUUGCUACAGGGAAGUAAAAAAAAUGAUAAGAACUCAGUUUUAAUUCAUGGAUUCCAUGAGAAAGAAAUUAGUGUUUGUAAGAUGUUUUAACAUGAAAAUGGUAAUUUCCCAACAGUAAAUACACAGACCUGUACGCACCAGAUGUUGAGGAAGGGGAGCUGGCUGCAGUCAGUGUGAAAACAUUUACAAAAAACACACAGCAAUGUAAAGUAACAGCUAUUAACUGUAGCAUUGCAGUUUUUCACUGUACAACGUACACCACUAUCCAGCUGUGGGUGACAGAUUCAGACACUUGGGCCCAAUCCCAAUUCUAAUUUCUACCCCUCCCCCUUCCCCUUGGCCCUUCCCCUUGAAACUGAGCUACAAGGGAUAGGGCUUGAAAUUCAACCCUUACGUAUUGGGAUAGCCCUUCAACGAUCGCAUACGUCAUC